AAAUCCCUCUUCUGCCUGUUUCUGGCUUUGCUCGAUGCUCGCUGAGCUCCCAGAGGCACCAGGUUCUGCUGGAGCACCGCGCUGGUGGCGGGAAUGGGAAUGCCAGAAUUUCCACAUGGUUUGGGGCAUCCCCACCAUUCCUCACCCCCUUGUGUCCUGGUGGCACCAUUCCCUGGACCCAGGGGAGGGCUGGGAAGGAGCGGAUCCUAAAGGCACUGAGGCUGAGAUACAACGGUGACAGGAGGGAUCAAAACACUUGUGGUGGCUUUGGUGACCCUUAGGAGAGGCUGGGAGUGCCCAGCCAGGCUCAGGGUGUCCUGCAGAGGACAACAGCCACAUCAGGGCCUUGGCCUCUCUCACAGGUGGUGUUGCCCACCAAAACACCUCAUUUGGCUGGAUAAACAUGUGAACAGCUCUGUAGGUUUGGAGUUGAUGAAAAGGAGCACCACACUCUAAUCUCUUUCAAAACAGAGACCUUGGAAACCACUGGAGCCUGACACACCUCUCCAGGUGUUAUAUAAGAUUUAUCCCUGUGCAGAAAAGGAAGGGUAGAGAACAUUUUCAUUGAAUCGCAGCCAAACAGGCAAGUCAGCUCCUCCAUCUGCUCCCAGGGAGGGUUUGGCUGUUGAUUUGCCUCUGUGGGUCUCUCUGGAUCUGUUUGCUCUCUGGACCUGUCUAUGAGACACCUGUGGGUCAGGUUUCUUCUGAUUUUUGCCGUGCUCUGUUGUCACUGCCAAGUGACUUUUUGCCCAGAGUCUGAAGGAGAUGAAAUAACUCAGGACCAAAGGAACACCUUGGUGGAAAGUGGUUCUGAUGGCAGCAAGAGCCAGCUUGUAAACCCAGAGCUUUGCUCUACUUCAGUAAUACCUGAAUAUUGGCAUAACUUUUUUUGAAAGCAUUUAACAUUAGAAACUUUAUUUUUAGUGUGUAAAUGUCAAGGUGAAUGACAGCUUUUCAAUCUUUCUCUGGCUCCUCCUGCUCUGUGCCCAAAGCUCCUGUCCCCCUCCAUCACCCCUCCGUGGGGCUGGGAGCCCCCUCUGUGGGGAGGAGGAGGAGGAGGAUCCUGCAUCCAGCAGGGCUGGGAGGUGAUGGGGUGAUGGGAUGGGAGUGUGAUGGAGUCAAGGGGUGAUGGGAUGGAGGGUGAUGGAGGGUGAUCAAGGUGAUGAGAUUGGGAGUGUUUGGGCUGCUGCAGGACUGAGAUGGGCAAGGGGAGGAAGCAGCCCUCUCCCAGCUCUUUCCCUUCUCCAAAGGACUUUGUUUUAAAACAAGUAGUCUUUUAAAAAUCUAGGGCAAGUCAGCCUCCUGCCAAAAUUAGUCUUUGUGCAAGAGCAUGAGAAGGAAUUUUAAUGGGUAGCUGGUAUGUGGGGAUGAGGGGAAUGACUGCUUUUACUAUCUAAAUGCUGUUUAAAUAAGGCUGUAACAUCAAACAGCUUUGCCACGCUCGCAGCUCUGUUUUACAGGAAGCAUCACUGUCGCUGCUCACAAAUACACAAGAAUGUUAAACAACAACUUUUUAUUUGUGCCAAACGUGUCCUGACACAUCGCUGAGGGGGAGGAGAGCAGGAGAGCUCCAGCGCCAGGGACCUGCUUCCCUCUGGCCUGGCUGCUGUCCCCACUCUGGGAACUGCUACAAACCCCAAGGAUCUGCCCAACUGCAGCUGAGGGGAGCAGGGAGAGGUGAAACCCAUAUGAGUCCUGGGGCCCUGUAUGGAGCCUGCAGUCGGGAGGGGGAUAGGGACAGGGAUGGGCCAGUGAUAUCAAACAGAUAAAUAAUUUCUCCUCUAUAAGGCAAAGUUUAUUUAUCUUCCAUGUGUGGCUGAACUUCUCUGCUGUUUGUUCUGUACUGAGGGUAUUAAAACUCAGUCAUCUGCAAAGAAUUAAACUUCUGUGGACUCUUAAAAGUGCUCUUUAA